UCUUAUCCCAUAUACUCUCGAUUCCAAGUAACAUAGUAGCAUUAGGUUUUUCCGGUAAAAGUCUUCAAGGUGUCAGUUGGGCAGCCGAUCGGACUCCUAACAAUUGAAGGUAUUGUCCUCGUGAAGGAGAUAUGAUCUAAGAUUGAUGAGAGGGUGUUAGUAUAGAACAUGUGAAUAAUAAUUUAGAGUUAAUUGAGCGUAGGCGACUCGAAUCAUAUCAACUUGAGAUUUAUAUGGCCCUUACCUGUGCAGCCACGAUACCACUUGAGCUACAUGAAUUGGCAGGAACAAAAUCUCAACACGGAAUACAUUUGUUUGUUUUGAAAA